AUAAUAAUAAAGUACUAGCUCCUUCUCUCCUGGGCUAUACUUGGCUUGCCUGCGGGCCUGGCCCGUAAAGACCCAGUGCGGGGCGGGAUUGGGAACAGAUUUUACGGCCCGUUUGUUAGCGGGCCUCGCGGGUAUAACCGCUGCAGUAUUGGGCCGAAGCGGGUUGGACCGAAGCGGGAUGCGGGACAAAUGCGUGGCCCGCUUGCUUUUUUCAUUUCGUCUCUUUGGUGACACCAACAAAAAGCUUAGAACAGACCCAUGAUGGUGAUGGUGAUUUCUCAUCUUUGCUUCUCGUUUCCCCAAACCGGUGACCAGAACUCAUUCACUUUAGCCAUGCCUCUUCCGGUUCGUAUUCAAUCAAAGAAUCGUGUCUUCAAGCUUUGUAAUGUUGACCCAAACUCAUUCACUUUCUUUGUAACUCAUCUUAAGGAAAAAUGGUUUCUUUUUUUUGAAGUGAGUGUGGGUGCCGACAAGAAAGUGUACACAAGACUUGUUUUUUGCUGUUGUUUUUCUGGAAACUUAAUCAUCAUUCUCGAAUAUGAGUUCUCAAAACAUUAUUUUUUAUUUACUAUAUUUUCUUGGUGGACCAUUAUAAUUGUCAACGGGUUGAAGUGUGGUAGCUGAUUUGGAUGUUCGAGAACAUAUGGAACCUUAUAUGGAAUGCAGCUUUAUUCAAGUGUAGUUUAAGUGCCUUCUUAAUCUUUUAGAAGAGUUGAUAAAGUUACUAAUAGACUGUGAAUGUACAUGGUUAUCUCGGAAGAUUUGAAAUGGUAUUACUGUGUAUGAUUGAGUCUGGCCUUAGGCAGUUAUAGUUUGCACUUUGCAGGUUCACAGGAUUGCUCUAGUCUCAUGGUUCUUGGUUGUAUAUGUUUUAUCUUUUUUUUUAUGUUUCUUUGAUAUAGUUUGUCUUGUUAUAUAUGAGCAUAUGUGCUUCAUGGUGGCUACUUGUGAUAGAGUCUUGAAGCGAAUGAUUAGAAAGGUUCCUCGUGUGCCUAUAAUGUAUUUGGGGGGGGGGGGGGAGGUUAAAGUUCUCAGCAGAGAGGAUGCCUGAAGCAACACGUGGUAUAGGUCUAGUAGAGGUGACAUGUGAAGAAGAUCUGCGUCCCGCGGCCGUACCGCCAAGGCUUGUGCAAGCUGCGGAUUGGGAUUGGGUAGCACUUCUAGGGACUGCGUCCCGUGCGGGCCUGUACUGCAAAGACCCGCAUUGAACAUGACCGCGGCGGGGCGGGACUAGGCGGGACGGUACAACCCAAUUGCCAUCUCUACGUGUUUAUAUGUUUUGUAUUUUAUAUACUAUAACAAUGAGAGGUAGUUUUGUUUUUCAUAUUAUUUAUCAACCGUAAAAUAAAUUAAACAAAUGAAACUGUUGUGGGUCCAACCUUUUUUUUUUCUCUCUCUCAUAAACGCUCUAUCUUCUCUCUUUACCAAAAACUUUCAGGCCUUCAGAUUUGCAGCUCCGACGGCUUCCAUAGCGUCGGCUUCCAUGUUUAUAAAUCUUCUCGGCAUAGUUAUUUUAAGAUCCGUUUUGCUUCUUGUGUUUUUUUCGUUUUUUUCUUCUCUGUUGUAGAUGUCUGUUGUGUAGUUCUUUUGGUGUUGAGGAGAUCCUUCGUUAGUUUGUAAGAUGUGGUGUGGUUUGUGCUCUUCGUCGCUGCGGUGACUCGUUUGAUAGAUUUGGCCAGAUCUGUAAUUAUUUCUGGUGUACGGUGCUGGUUGAUGCCGUCUCUGAUGUGGGUUGCUAAUUCUUCCAUCGGAUUUGGUCAAGUCAUUGUCGUUUUGAGUCGUUUGUGGUUGGUGUUUGGGGCCGUUCUGUUCAUCUCUUGCUUGGUUUCUUGCUAAUCGAAGGAGCUCUGUUUUAUGUCUCUUCAUGGUUGAGGCUGUUGUCUCUGGGAAGAAGUGGUUCUCAUAACACUAUCUUUGCCGGCUUCGUCUCCGGGAAGAAGUGAUUCCUCUACACUUUUUUCGCCGGCCGAGUUUCAGUUAAUCUUUGGUUCUUCUCUGCGUGUUGGAAGAUCGAAGCUUUGGAUUCAAUCCCUUUCUCCAGUUUGGCUUCGUUGAUGGAGGUGAUUCGGCGUACAUGCUCUUCGACUUCGGAGGAAGCUCGUGACGGCCGUUCGUUACAGAAGUUCUCGUUGUGGGUGGAGAUGGUGUAUUCCACGUUGAUUGUGGGUGGGCUUAAGGCCUGGAUAAUUAUAAUGUUAUGUUUAUUUUGGGUUUUGUUUAGUUUGUAUGUUGU